rnacentral:rRNA from 1 species
ACGAACGCUGGCGGCGUGCUUAACACAUGCAAGUCGAACGGAAAGGCCUGCUUUCCCUUGUGGAUUGCGGGUACUCGAGUGGCGAACGGGUGAGUAAAACGUGAGUGAUCUGCCCCCAACUUGGGUAUAAGCCUGGGAAACUGGGUCUAAUUCCCGAUAGGACUGCAGGGUGGUGCCUGUGGUGGAAAACGAUUUUCUAGUGGUUGGGGAUGAGCUCGCGGCCUAUCAGCUUGUUGGUGGGGUAAUGGCCUACCAAGGCGGCGACGGGUAGCCGGCCUGAGAGGGUGGACGGCCACAUUGGGACUGAGAUACGGCCCAGACUCCUACGGGAGGCAGCAGUGGGGAAUAUUGCACAAUGGGCGGAAGCCUGAUGCAGCGACGCCGCGUGGGGGAUGACGGCCUUCGGGUUGUAAACUCCUUUCGACCGCGAGGAAGCCACCUGGUUGGAAGGGUGGUGACGGUAGUGGUAGAAGAAGCACCGGCUAACUACGUG